CACGUAGGGUGCGAGCGUUGUCCGGAAUUAUUGGGCGUAAAGAGCUCGUAGGCGGUUUGUCGCGUCUGCCGUGAAAGUCCGGGGCUCAACUCCGGGUCUGCGGUGGGUACGGGCAGACUAGAGUGAUGUAGGGGAGACUGGAAUUUCUGGUGUAGCGGUGAAAUGCGCAGAUAUCAGGAGGAACACCGAUGGCGAAGGCAGGUCUCUGGGCAUUAACUGACGCUGAGGAGCGAAAGCAUGGGGAGCGAACAGG
rnacentral:rRNA from 1 species